UGUUUUCACAGCUCCAAAGGGACAACAUC
rnacentral:piRNA from 1 species